rnacentral:lncRNA from 1 species
UAUAAAAUCCAUCAUCCGCCGCUACGAAAACCUAACAGUACUAGAUACAUGUCAAAAGAGAAUCUAGAGCACCUCCCAAAAUGCAGUGAAGAUUUAGGGUUGAUUCUCGCCGCCGCCGCCUUGGUUAGGGUAAGACUUGUGUCCAAUUUCUGGUCUAAUUUAUCCGCUCUGCUACUAUUGUUUCUUUACAAAUACGACUCGUUUAUUGCAUCUCCGUUCAAUAUUAAUAGUGUCAGAUUCGAUUUGGGUGUAAGAACUUGAUGAUGCUAUAUUCCUUUUAUUUCACAAAAUAUGUAUCAUGUAUGGAACGCUGCCUUGUCCUAUUAUUAUUAAUGAUUUCAGGAAUUGUUGAAUAUUGUGGUUAUUGAUUUGGCAGAUUUUCUAACCGUGUGUAUACGAGUCUAGUGUUGUAAUCCUUAGCACUUACUAUUGUCCUUGUGUUGCUUUGUAGGAUUUACGAGGCAGUAGAAUUGGUGGCCAUGGAACUGUGUGAGUCUAAUGAAGUUCUUAUCAAUGGAUAUUGUUUGCAAGGAGGAAUUUAAGAUUAAAUUCUCUCCUAAUUUAAUUAUUUAAUAUUGAUCAGUGGGAAUAUUAAGAACGUAUCUCGCACAUAUAUUAAUAAUGAUCAAAGGCAAUAUUAAUUUUUUAUAUAUAUUAGUAAUGAUUAAGAGAAACAUUAUCAAUUUCUAUAAUUUGAGAAUAGUUAGAUUUUAAGAUGGUUUGGCUGUUGUAGUUUGAUCGAGAAGAUAUAUAUUAGAUUUGGAGAUAUUAAGAUGGCUUGGAUGUUGUAAUUUGAUCAAGAUGAUGAUAUAUAAAGAGAAGUUGAUAGAUUGAAA